rnacentral:rRNA from 1 species
UGGGAAUUUUGGACAAUGGGCGAAAGCCUGAUCCAGCAAUGCCGCGUGUGUGAAGAAGGCCUUCGGGUUGUAAAGCACUUUUGUCCGGAAAGAAAUCCUUGGCUCUAAUACAGUCGGGGGAUGACGGUACCGGAAGAAUAAGCACCGGCUAACUACGUGCCAGCAGCCGCGGUAAUACGUAGGGUGCAAGCGUUAAUCGGAAUUACUGGGCGUAAAGCGUGCGCAGGCGGUUUGCUAAGACCGAUGUGAAAUCCCCGGGCUCAACCUGGGAACUGCAUUGGUGACUGGCAGGCUAGAGUAUGGCAGAGGGGGGUAGAAUUCCACGUGUAGCAGUGAAAUGCGUAGAGAUGUGGAGGAAUACCGAUGGCGAAGGCAGCCCCCUGGCCAAUACUGACGCUCAUGCACGAAAGCGUGGGGAGCAAACAGGAUUAGAUACCCUGGUAGUCCACGCCCUAAACGAUGUCAACUAGUUGUGGGGAUUCAUUUCCUAGUAACGUAGCUAACGCGUGAAGUUGACCGCCUGGGGAGUACGGUCGCAAGAUUAAAACUCAAAUGAAUUGAC